rnacentral:misc_RNA from 1 species
UCCGUGUUGACCACGGCGGUCUCCUACGAGUCCUCAGCAUAACCUGUUAGCAACAUAGGACAAGGGUUGCGCUCGUUGCGGGACUUAACCCAACAUCUCACGACACGAGCUGACGACAACCAUGCAUCACCUAUCGCCGACCCCGAAGGACACCAUAUCUCUAUGGCUUUUCCGGCGUAGUUCAAUCCAGGUAAGGUUCUUCGCGUUGCAUCGAAUUAAGCGACAUGCUCCGCUGCUUGUGCGGGUCCCCGUCAAUUCCUUUGAGUUUUAGCCUUGCGGCCGUACUCCCCAGGCGGGGUACUUAAUGCGUUAGCGACGGCGCGGAAAGUGUUGGUUACUCCCCACACCUAGUACCCACCGUUUACGGCGUGGACUAC